rnacentral:lncRNA from 1 species
UGUUUCUUCUGUGAACUCCAAUGCAGCAGGAGCAGCUGCAGCAAGUUGAUGAUCUGAGUGUUCGUUUCUGGUGGCUGCUUUAGCUUUUUAACAAUGGUGGGGUGGUGACAGAGAGUAAAGUAAAGGGAAAUAAGGACGUGAGGGCCAGUUGUGAACAGGGGUUGGUUUGGUUUGGUUGGUACAAUCAACUAAUCAAGAUAUGAAAAUUGAAAGCGUGUCUAUAUUAUUGGAUUUGUUUCUUUUUGUGGGAAAUUGAAUUGAUGCAGGCGAUGUUUAAUGCAGGAACCACGACCGAUAGAUAUGGUGGGAAAGGAAAGUUCGCAAUCGAUGCCAGUUAUUACGGAGGCCAAGUUUGAAAUUCCUUCGUUGCCUUUUUUUUCAUUUCGAGCCUUCUUCUGGAAUUUGGGUGAGUCUGUGGUCUAUGUGUUGUUGAGAGGUCAGCACUCUCAUGACUCUCCGACGGUUCUAUAACGAUUUUGUUUUAAUAAUUUGAGUUGUUUCGAAAGAGGGUUUUGCAAGACUUUUGAAAAAGUUGGAAAUUUAUACAAG